CGAACGGGUGAGUAACGCGUGAGGAACCUGCCUCAAAGAGGGGGACAACAGUUGGAAACGACUGCUAAUACCGCAUAAGCCCACGGAUCCGCAUGGAUCUGCGGGAAAAGGAUUUAUUCGCUUCAGGAUGGACUCGCGUCCAAUUAGCUAGUUGGUGAGGUAACGGCCCACCAAGGCGACAAUUGGUAGCCGGACUGAGAGGUUGAACGGCCACAUUGGGACUGAGACACGGCCCAG
rnacentral:rRNA from 1 species